AUCCUCUGCUGGGGAAAUAUGACAUCCAGGGACUGGUGACCCGGCAUGAGGACCAAACAGCCCUCCUUGGGAACAUGUGUGAAGUGGCACAUGAGGAGGCAUCUCUGGUGUCAUGGCCCAGCAUCAGAUCUACUUCAGGACAUGUAAUGACUUAGAUUGGGGAACUGGAUAGAGCUUUGUGGGGUGCUGGUAUAUGUCACUCAGGACUUUCAGUUCUCAGUUUUGGGGGGUUGUGGGAGAAAAGGUGUCCAAUAUGUGGCCUGUGGUCCCCCUAACUGCUGAGCUUUGGUGAACACCAUCCUGACUGGCGUAGGUGAUGGCAGCUGCCCUGUCCUAUUGCCCAGCCAAAGUCCUUGUCCCUAUUUGCAGAUCAGAGACUCCAAGAGACCCUGACCCUUUUGCAUUCCGGCUCUGGGUAUCUGUCAGGCUGUGUCAACCAGAGACAGCUCUCUCCAGUCUCAGUGGAGGUUCUGGAAGAGCUGGGACACCAUGCAAGUCAGUGAAGGAUAUAGCCAAAAUGAACUCAGAUGGGGGCUGAUCUUCCUGCUCUGGGCUUGGAGGCCAAGAUAUGGGCUGGAGCCAGGGAGGUAUGUCUGCUGACAGUGAUUGAUCUCAGGGUUGGGGGAAUAGGCCAGUAGUUAUUGGGGGUGGCCCCAAAUCUAUGGACUCAAGUUAUGCGAGCCCAUACUUUCCUGAGCAGUUUGUGCUGACUGACCUGACACUCAGAAUUCCCUACUUGAAGCAGCAUUUAAAAAUAAAAAUGAGACCUUACCUCACACGAGACCAGAGACACAGGCAUCAGGAAUCCCUGGCUCUGGGCACCCGUUGCCCUCCCAUGGCUUCACCCAUGAGUUCUCAGGGACCCACUGUCUGGUUGGGCCACAGGGACUCACUGUGAGGAUUUUCAUGACAAUGUUGCUAAUAUUGACAGCAUUAUUUCCCGCCCCUGACUGCCCCCUGGCAUUCAUCUGCAUUGUCUGGUGCUGAAGGCAGGGGCAGAUGGAAGGGCUCUGAGACUGGGAGUGAGCGACGGAGAUCCAGGACCUGGCACACUGUGGGGGUGAGCACCCAGAUUCCCAAGGUUCAGGUUUGUGUAAAGACACCAGGAGAUAAUCCUUCGAAGGUACUGGACGCCAGCCUGAGUAGCAGGAUGGCCUUUUGUCUGGAGGCUGGAGGUAGUUCCAAUACUGCAGCCCUUGAGAACAGGGAUGGGGCAUGGCCUCACUGACCAUAGGCCUGGCAUCAGGCUGGCAUGUGGGGACUGACCUUCAUCUGUGUCUCUGCUGUCUGACCGCUGGACUCCCUCUGGAGUAGUGUCCGAAUCUCUGGUUCCUCCAGCAGUAGGUUCGCCAUUCCUGUUUCCUGGCCUUGGACUGGCUUGUUGGGGUGUUAGGAGCUGAGGCCCUUCCGACCUGUGGGUAGGGGAGCGACAUGUUUUGAGAGGUGAGGACAUCUUCAUCUAUUUCUUACUCUGCACAGAUGAGUCACCCAUGGUUUACACCACUGUGCUGGGAAAGGCAGCUUCCCAUAGGCUACGUUAAGGUUAAGAUAUGACCCACUUUCCUUUGCUGAUAGGGAACAGACACGAAACCCAAGUUUAGAGAAUGGGAUGUGUUGCAGGAUAUUUGAUCACACUGUGAAUCCUGAGAUUGUGUUAUUGACUGGAAAAACCUGUUUUUAGUUGUGGUGUGGCUCAGCCCUAGCACGCAUCUUUAGGUCAAGAGCUUUCUGCUUCAAUACUGUAAACAAGAUUAAGUAAAGUCAACCAUAGGUCAAGAGGCGGAGCCAGCAAUCAGCUGACAGGAAGUGAACAGAGGAUUAUCAGGAAAAAAAAACAGAGAGAGUAAAGGAAGUCAGGAGGACAGAUAGAGAGACGCACAGGAAGUAGCGGGGAGGGACAUUCAGUUGGAAGGUGCUCUUUUUUUUUUGUUUUUGCUUUUUGUUUGUUUGUUUGUUUUGGGGAUGGCGAUAAGCGAGAUGGGAAUUGUUUCUGGGAUGUUGUGGGCUGAGGAGAACGGUCAGCUGGGUGCUUUUUUUCUGCCUCUCUGACCAGCAGGCUUUCAUCCUCAGCAGGCUCCAGAGUCCUCAUUGGUAAAAUGGAAUGAUUGAGAUUUUGUUAAACAAAACAAGAUGCAAGGCGAAGUCUUCUGCAGACACUUCAGGAUGGAUUUUCAUCUGUGUAACAAGAAUUAUGAAAAAGGAAACUCGGUUUUGCAUGUGGUCAUGUGGUAAUGCUGUACUUGGGGCUGUGACCAUGAGUGAAUGGGGUUUGUGGCAGUUAUAUUGUGACCAUGAGUGAUGGGGCUGUGGCAGUCAUACUGUGAUCAUGAGUGAAUGGGGCUGGGGCAGUUAUGUUGUGACCAUGUGCAAGUGUCUGAAUUACCUAGUAGUUGGGUAAGAGCUCUGACAUCUUUAGAGGCCAAGGUAACCAGUCUGGUAGCUACCUAAUAUGGUUGGCAUUCACAAAAAGAUUUAUUUUUAUUUUUUGUAUAUGAAUGUUUUGCCUGCAUACAUAUCUGUGUACCACAUGAGUACCUGGUGUCCAUGGAAUCCAGAAGAGGGUGUAGGAGCCCCUGAGAUGAGUUACCAAUAGUUGUAAGCCAGCACUAGGGGGCUGGGAACUGAACCUGGAUCCUUGGACCCUCCCACAUCAGUCAAUAAAUAAGAAUAUGCAGCAAAGGCUUGUAACAGGCAAAUCUGGGAAGGACAUUUUCUUAGCUGAGGUUCCCUUGUCCCAAACGACUCUAGCCAUGUCAAACGGACAUACAACUAGCUAUCAUACCUGUCCCAUGGCCCUUGCUCUCUAACUUCUUCCAGUUCAGCUUCAUCUCUCUGAGGUUCUAUAGCCUCCCCAGACAUCUUGGGACUACGUGUGGGGACACUCCACAUGUCAACCAUAGCAAUAAGUCAUGCCAUUGUCCCCAUUUCACAAAGAAGGCCUCCUCAAAGGAAAGGAAGUCCCUGGAGUGACACAGCAUAGCUACUGUCAGCUUUAGGAGACUGAAGGUCACAUCCAUGGAUUUGGGACAAGGAAACGCCUGAAGCAAGGUAAGGGAGUAAGGUCAGGACAAACUUUGACAUUUUCCAUUUUCUGAGGGUUCCAUGUGGCUCUUGCCUGCUAACUGGGAUUUCUGAGUUCUGCAUGGUUGAUAGAGCUGCAACCCCUUAUUAAGUUACCAGGAGACAUGCUGUACUUCCCUGGCCUGUGUUCUCCAGGAGGAUCCUACUUCACCAGGUACUAUUCUCUUUUGGGAUCCUUUGUGGAGUAAGGGUGUAUCUGGGAGAUGUCAAGAUAUCCCUGACCUGGAAGGCCUUGUUGGAGUCUCCCAGUGGCUAGAUGGAUCUGGAUGGAUGAACUCUGGUGACUCCCACUCUUCCUCAGACCCAAGUCCUCUGUGUGGCUGGGUGUUCCCUCCAGCUGGCCACAGCCACACCCUCCUGGAACUCUAGUGAGCCUCUGAUAGCUUCCAUGUUGUGGGCCAUGGCCACAUCUGGCUGCCAGCCCAGGGGUUUAAACAGUCUGACAGGAGCCAGAUGUUGCAUUUUCUUCCCAUCCCAGAAGCUCCCAGCUCCUUCUGACAGACUUCCUUCUUAGUUCAGUGAUGCCAAGGGACCUCAGAAGCUGCCACCAGCCUGCAGAACCACGUCUUUGCUAUGUGAGCCACACAGCUCCCUCGCCCCACUCUGAGCUGACUCAUUUCAUUUCCCACAUGUUUGCCAGUGGGCAAGAACAAGGCUCUACCCUGGGUUGGACAUUUGGGGGUCCUAUGAUGAAAUGAAAUAAUGGAGUGCCUGCCUUCACUGAUGUUUGGGGAUGGUGUGGUGAAAAGCCUGUCUUUCUGCAAUAAUUCCAGCCCAGAAUUGGACUCUGCUCUUCAUGCAAACACAAAAUACACCACAAUUGGAAUUCUUCACAGCACUGUGCUUUGAGAAUUUAAUCCCCAAAUCAAAAUGCUGAAGGGUGUUUGGAGACAGAGCGUUUGGGAGGAGGUUAGGAUUAGGUGACACCGUGAGGAUGUGUCCCCAUGGGGGUGUUAGUCAACUGAGUUUAUCAUGUGGUGCCUGGGCCACCUCACUGCAGUGUGAGGGUCUUGCCAGAUGCUGACAUCACACUCUGGGGAUCCCCAAGCUGAGUGAACCUCUGUUCUCUGAAAGCUACCCAGCCUUGGGGUUUGCUAUGGCAACAGAAAACAAACGAAGAAAGCUCCAAAUGUUGGGGAGAAUGAUUCGAUGGAUGAGGUAACCAACAGGAGGAACUGAUGAAAAGCCUGAUUGGUCAAAUUAGAUUGAAGACGGCACCCCUGCCAUGGAGAGAAAACUGCAGCGACCCCUGGUCACAUCCCUCAAAGGGAAGGGUCAGGGUGAACUCAAGAUCUAAGAGUGAAGGAAAAGGAAACAGAACAACACACAGCCGAAUGGGUUUGUGACCCAGGGUGAACAACUCAUUUCAAAAGCAGAAGUCACACGGCAAAAGGACUUGAUCAUGUCAUAGCACACUGUGGGCAGCGCUGGGUUUCUUGGUCAGAGGGCAUGAGCAUCCUCCCCACCCAUGACCUGGCAGAUGCUCUUGGGUGAUGUCAUAUCAGGUUUCCUGAGACACACAGGAUGACACUUACUUAACAUCAUCUCAGGAGGAGGUGGCGCCCUCUGAUGGUUGGAGGACUGUGUAAGGAAGAAGUGGUGAGCGGAGGGACCUGGCAACAUGGUCUGAAAACCAGCAUUGAGCAGCUGAUGGGGAGGAGGAGGAGGAGCAGGAGGAGAGGAGGAGGAGGGAGCAUGAGAGCACACAGUACAAUCUCUGCAAGUAGAAAACACAUGGUUUGUAGGAACAUACACAAGGGGAAGGCAGGGCUCUUCAUUUGGGGGAUUCCUCAUCAUGCCUCAUAGAUGCCUGCAGCUGCUAGCUCACUGGGCAUUUUCCUCCUCUGAAGACCUGUGAGAAGGUAUAGUUUACAAAUGAGGUGCAGUAAGAGGUCAAGAGCAUUGAUUCGCACUGCUCUGGAACAGUUACUGCAUCCAGUAAAAUAAGCCCCAUCCUCAGUCUCUACUGCUUUGAUAAAGACUUGACCAAAAGCAAGAUGGGGCUAAAAGGGUUUAUUUCAUCUUACAGUCCGUCAUGGAGGGAAGUCAGGACAGGAACUGAAGCAGAGGGCGUGGAGGAACACAGUUUCUGACUUGUUCCCUAUGGCUUGUUCAACCUGCUUUCUUAGACACCCAGGAUCACCUGCCCAGGGGUGGCACCAUGUAAAGAGAGCUGCAUCAGUCACUACUCAAGAAAAUGCCAUACAGUCAUCGGGCAAGUUCCUCCUCCCAGAUGACUCUAGCGGUGUCAAGUUGAUGUAAAAUUAGCCAGCGUCAACCAAUCAAGAUGGCUAUGGAGUGACUCGUGAGGGCUGCACGUGCAGCGUGGAUAUAGAGAAGGCCGACAGCAGGAUGUUGUGGGUUUUAUCACACUUUCCAGAACACUGUGCAGUGUGACCUUUAUGAGCUACUUAUUUCUGGCAUUUUCCAUUUUCAGAUUGUGAUUGGCCACUGGUGACUGAAUCCGUGAACAGUGAAACUGAAGGUGUGUGUGUGUGUGUGUGUGUGUGUGUGUGUGUGUGUGUGUGUGAGACUAGUGACCACUGACAUCACAGGAAGAAAAGGACUGGGAAGAGAAGCAGAAAGACCAUUCCUAUCCCAUCCAAGUUUCCCACUCAGGAUGAACAGGUGCCCUAAUGGCGGAUAUGAUGGCACCAGUCACGAGGGCGAUGACAUGUAUGUAGUCAUGUUUGUCAGCAUCCCAGAGCCAGCACAUGCCGGGAAAGUACUCUGCUAGACACUGACACUAACUCAGGAAUCGGUAAACUUUUUCUGAGAAUAUUUCAGGCUUUUAAGCCUGGCCUUAUAAUACAUGGUCUUUGAAACACAAAAGUAGUCUCAGAGGUGCUCAAAGGACAAACAUGGUUGUGUUCUAAGAAAACCUUAGAUAAUCUUCACAAACAUUUAGAAUUUCAUGAAAUUUUCAUACUGUGAAAUAUUCUUUUUUGAAGUUUUUUUUUUUAGGUCAUUGAAAAUGAAAAAUAAUUCUUAGUAGAGUGUGGCAAGCUAGCAGAGGGCUAGAUUCUGUCUGGAUGAGGGAAAUGAUGGUCUCUGCCCUCUCUGCCAAGCUUGUCUGAGCAGAAUGUGUUUGACCAACAGUAAUGCCCUCACUUUGGCUUCCAGGCUAAAAUCUGUCCAGUGCUGCCUGAGGUCCUCAGAGAAACCAGGGCAGAAAGAUACCCUCAGGACUAUGGGGAGCCACAGUCACUGGGACCCCGUGGUCAUCUCACCGGCAAGGUGGCUCAUAGCUAAGGAAGGAGGAGAGCUUCUGAAGACAUUUCUUAGUUGUCAGGGUCACUCACCCCAGGAUUUCCAUUGGAGGGCACAGAUGUUACUAUUAUUAUUUAUCCUUUCUACUUUUGGCCCUUCAAGACACGGUUUCUUGUGUAGGCCUGACUUUCCUGGAACUCACUCUGUAGAACACACUCUGUAGACCAGGCUGGCCUUGAGGUCUUGCUUGCCUCUGC